GGGAUCUGCCCGAUAGAGGGGGAUAACUACUGGAAACGGUGGCUAAUACCGCAUAAUGUCUACGGACCAAAGCAGGGGCUCUUCGGACCUUGCACUAUCGGAUGAACCCAUAUGGGAUUAGCUAGUAGGUGGGGUAAAGGCUCACCUAGGCGACGAUCUCUAGCUGGUCUGAGAGGAUGAUCAGCCACACUGGGACUGAGCACGGCCCAG
rnacentral:rRNA from 1 species